rnacentral:rRNA from 1 species
AAGAGACAGCAGUAGCCACGGUAAAACGGAGGAUCCAAGCGUUAUCCGGAAUCAUUGGGUUUAAAGGGUCCGUAGGCGGUCUUGUAAGUCAGUGGUGAAAGCCCAUCGCUCAACGGUGGAACGGCCAUUGAUACUGCAGGACUUGAAUUAUUGGGAAGUAACUAGAAUAUGUAGUGUAGCGGUGAAAUGCUUAGAGAUUACAUGGAAUACCAAUUGCGAAGGCAGGUUACUACCAAUUGAUUGACGCUGAUGGACGAAAGCGUGGGUAGCGAACAGGAUUAGAUACCCGUGUAGUCCCUGUCUCUUAUAC